rnacentral:lncRNA from 1 species
GCAGCAUUCAAAAAAUAUUUAUAUACAACUUGAUUUUACGUUUCUAUUGUUGAUUUUUUUUUUGCAAAGGUCUUGUCUAUCAAUUCAUGAAUUACAAUUUGAAUCCCUUCCCCACUGCCUGAUGAUAUUUAUUACUUCUUGGUGUACUUAUAUGUCAAGGCACAUAUUGUCAGAGGUCAAUCAAACUGAACUAAAAAAGACUUUUAUGAUAUUAUAGUUUAUUUGUAAGUUCACUGAACAUUUCCUGUUCUGGUAAACUGUAAUAUAGUAAUAACAUUGGCAUGAAAAUAUAUGAUAAGCUAAUGGAAUGUAGAUAUACAAUGUAACAUAUCAAUGUAAACAUUGUCAACACAUUGUUUGGAUAAAAUUUUGUCACCUAUGAAAAUAAGUUGAAAGCAUAAUAACAAAGUGCUUGUACCAAGUAUCCUGUAUUGGACUCAUGGUACCAAUUUUUACAUCACAAGUUAUACAAAUGUAGAAUUUUCAAAACAGAAUCCUACAUUUAAUUAGUAAAACCAUUUCGACAUAUGUACUUCAAUUCACAACAAGUAAAUUUAAGUUCAAUCUGAGCCAUGCUUUGGAAGAUGAAAUGGUUUACUGAGAGAAUUCAAUUAAAGUUACAAGUUUAAAGAGGAUACUGCUACAAAAAUACAUGGUGGUCUUACAUCAGUUUCAAUAGACAAAUUACAAGGAUUUUACUUGAUUUUUAAUUAUACUUGUUUCAUCACACAAACUAUGUAAAAUUAAUUUUCCUUUUGAAACUAAAAGGUUAACAUGUUAAUUUCAAAGUGUUUUCUAAACUAGUUUAGAUUUGGCAGUCAAAGUUUUAUUACUACAUUUUCAUAAAGAUCUUAUAAUGUAUUUUAAAAAUCUCUUUAUGCUUUAUUUUUUACUGUAAAAUUUGUGAUAUUUAAAUAAGUUGAGGUCUUUAUCUAGAAAACAUUCCAUUUUUCAAGUUACUGUAAAAAUAGAAAUUAUUGCACGCAUUUAUUAUUGCAAUUUGUUUAGAAUGUACAACAAUGGGAAAUAAGUUAUUGUGAUUUCAGGAAACUCUAUACAGAUACAUGUAUCAAAUUCAAAAUGAUAUUUAUUAUUGAAAUACUCAUUUGGUUACAUCAUUUGCAUAAAUAAAAACCUCGCAAUAAUUUCUGAAUUUAUUGGACCUUACAUGGGAGUUAUGAGAUGGGAGUCUCGCAUAAUUUUAAAAGGGGACUAUACAUGUACAUAAUCUAUCAGGAAAUUUAUUUAAAAUCAUUCUCAUUUUAUUAGCAGUUACUAUAGAUAACAUUUUAAAAGAAACAAACAAAUGUCAUGAAAGUAACAGCAAUAAUGCUUUUCCUACCUUAUCAGAAAAGAAAAUUACUUGGCAAUUUUGAAGCUAUGCUACACAAGGGGGACUCUAGUCAUAUUAGAUUCAAUUGGAAAGACCAUUAAAGAAGUUUAAAACAACAAACAAUAUGAUGUCAGUUUAACCUGACAAGCUACAAAAUACAUUUCAAAAAUUUAUUCUGACAACUAAAUGAGGUAUGCUGAUGGGUGUGUGUCCUAAAAGACUUGAUCUCUUGAGUUAAGAUACAGACUUAAACAUAUACAACCCCAUUAAAUACAAAAUUCCAAUACUACUGGCCAUUAAUUUAAAUCAAUCUCAUGUUUUAAUAAUUUUACAGUAUUCAAUGUAUAUACUGGGAUAUUCUAAAAUAUAAAACCAGAUGCUUGGCAGGACGCAGCUUAUACAACCGCAGAGGUCGAACCCUGAACAGUUGGGACAAGUAUGGACACAACAUUUAAGCUUAAUACAGCUCUGAAUUUGGAUUGUGAUUAAAUAGUUGACACAACAUAGGUUUCUGACACAGCAUGAAUGUGGUCUAAGAACUUAAACUUAAAGACUUAAAAAUUUUAAAUCGGACAUUUACCUAUUAUGGUCCAAUAUUCAAAAUCUAAAUACAUUGUUAGAUUCAGCAUAUCAUAGAACCCCAAGAAUUCAAUUUUUGAUGAAAUCAAAUAAUGUUCAAUUUUAGACCUUUAGACCUAAAUGUGGACCAAUUUGAUAAACAGGCCCAAAUAUUCAAAAUCUUAAUACAUGGUUAGAUUCAGCAUAUUGAAGAACCCCAUAUAUUCAAUUUUUGUUGAAAUCAAACAAAGUUUAUUUGACCUUUUGGACCUUAAUGUAGACCAAUUUGAAAACGGGACAAUACUGUGCAAUUGAAUAUUUCUUGCUAUUGCGCGAAACUGUGCAAUUGAAAAUUUGUCGCUAGUGAGCAAUAUUGUGCAAUUAGUUUUUCUUGCUAUUGCUCAAUACUGUGCAAUUGAAGAUUUCUUGCUAUUGCACAAUACUGAGCACUUGAAGAUUUCUUGCUAUUGUGCAAUACUGUGCAAUUGAAAAUUUAUUGCUAUUGUGCAAUACUGUGCAAUUGAAAAUUUCUUGCUGUUGCACAAUACUUAAUAUAAUAAUUUUGGACCCCGAUUUGGACCAACUUGAAAACUGGGC